GCCUAGGUGGUUCCGUCGGUUGAGCGUCUGACUUCAGCUCAGGUCAUGGUCUCACGGUUCGUGGGUUCGAGCCCCGUGUUGGGCU
rnacentral:tRNA from 1 species